UGAUAAGUCCUGUCCGAGAAAACCGCCCAAUAGUGUUUAAUUCAAUUACGUGUGAUGUCUGAGGGAAACUUGGCAAUUUUAGGGUAUAAAAUCUUUCACCGUCAAGCUUUAUUAUAUUAAACAUGUUAUUUAUGUAUGUGUGUGUGUUUAUAUUCCUCUGUUUAUUAAACCAGAGGGGUGGUGAUGUGGAGAGGCAGACCAGACCACCACCAUACGCGAAGAUGAGCCUCGAGGCGUGACAGUUAUUUUUUUCAAACUAAGGAGUUCGGACUCCGGACCGUCAUUUCUGCUUGUUUGUACCCUGAGACAACCAUGGUUAAUAAAUGGUCAGACACGUCACUGGCUUUAAAAUAUAAACCCCAUUGAUGCAAAAAGAUGCUGCAUGGAAUGACAAUGUGGUUUGGAACAGACUUGGUGAAGCACAUGGAAACAUCUCUUAAUAAAAUGGCCCCAAACAUCAUCAGGAGUGCAAAAGAAGGAAGUAAAAACAUCUCUACGCCAAUCUCAUUGGAGAGGAAACCACAGAAGGUCUGGUGAGGAAUGCUGCACUUAUGUUAUUGCAAGCAUUAUUUCAAGAAAAUCCCAGCUUCCUUUACUGUGUAAAUAGUGAACCCAAAGGUCCCACACCAACCAUAGUGUUCAACGGCUCUCCUGAUCUUUUCAAAUCUGAAUGUAUCAACUUUAUAAUGGACAAUGUGAACUUAAUAUGUGGAAGACAUUGACAUCACAGGCUGUGGAAUGACUAUGUCACAGGUCGGAGAGGCGGACCGCCCCUGUCGCGGUCACGCUCCUCCUAGUUCCACCUCGAGGAGGUCCCAAAGCACCCCAAUGACCAGACAAACCAGAGGUAAGUAAAAUAUAGAAAUAGAAACUUUAUUUAAAUUAUUUAAAACUAAAGUGGGGAAUGGGAAAGGGAAUCUAAAAAUCUCGCUUCUCGCCCUCAGGGGGAGUAUUACGGGGCCAGGGACGUUGGAGGGGUUUCCACGUGACUCCAGCUGGAACACCGCUACAGAGCGUAUCUGGGUGGGUUGGGCACACACCGUCGCGCCGGCCCCUGAUGGCAUCCACAAGGGUCCAAGACCCUCCUAAGCUCCUAGCCGUAGCAGAACUACGUAUUUCAGCACCCGAAGGACUAACAACCCAGCCGGCAUCUGCAGCGUAUAUCCAACGCGAUCAAACUUCACUCUGACAAGUAACUUCCUAUACACAACCACGCCGUCCUUUCGCCCGGACCAGCCCCGCACUCUUUCCGCCCGCUACCUAGCGGUCGCCGGAUCAGCAGAGCCUACGGACUCUUCGGAGGCUGGUCUUCGUUGUGCUGCCCAAGGCGGAAGUUGACUCGCCCGAAAAUCGACCCUUCCAGUAACUUCUACCUUCUCUCUUUAUAUCCUCCUCCCAGGCGUGGCUCGCCCAACCAUCGCUCGCCACGUCACUCACACAGCUGUGCCUUGUUUCAGCGAGUGCGGGGAUUCCCGGGGAACCCUGAAGUGCCGGUGUCUGUACAAACCGGUCCGGGCGGAACCUCUUCACUCUCCUUUUGGUUCCGCCCCGCAUAGUCACUCCGUGACAACUGUUUGCGUUUUUUUUUCUCCUCAAUGUUCAAUACUCUUUUGCCAUUAAGCACACAGUGACUUUAAUUUAUAAAAUAUAUGCUUAAGUUUUAAUACCUGUACAAAACAAAUGUACAAUCAACUUGUGUAAAUUGUCAUUCUAUUUAAUAGAUUGUUCAUGAAUUGUCUUUAAAUGCAUUGUGAUUUCGGUAACACUUUACAAAAAAGUUCAUUAGUUAACAUUAGUUAAUGUAUUAACUAACUUGAACAAACCAUAAGCAAUACAUUUGUUACAGUAUUUAUUCAUCUUUGUUAAUGUUAGUUAAUAAAAAUUUAAGCUUUAAUUGCUUGUUCAUGUUAGUUCAGAGUGCAUUAACUAAUGUUAACAAGAUUUUAAUAAAGUAAUUGUUGAAAUUAACAUAAACAAAGAUUAAUAAAGGCUGUAUAAGUGCAGUUCAUUAUUAGUUCAUGUUAACUAAUGUAGCUAACUAAUGUUAACUAAUGAACCUUAU